GACGAACGCUGGCGGCGUGCCUAAUACAUGCAAGUAGAACGCUGAAGCGAGGAGCUUGCUCUUCUUGGAUGAGUUGCGAACGGGUGAGUAACGCGUAGGUAACCUGCCUUGUAGCGGGGGAUAACUAUUGGAAACGAUAGCUAAUACCGCAUAACAAUGGAUGACACAUGUCCUUUAUUUGAAAGGGGCAAUUGCUCCACUACAAGAUGGACCUGCGUUGUAUUAGCUAGUAGGUGAGGUAACGGCUCACCUAGGCGACGAUACAUAGCCGACCUGAGAGGGUGAUCGGCCACACUGGGACUGAGACACGGCCCAGACUCCUACGGGAGGCAGCAGUAGGGAAUCUUCGGCAAUGGGGGCAACCCUGACCGAGCAACGCCGCGUGAGUGAAGAAGGUUUUCGGAUCGUAAAGCUCUGUUGUAAGUCAAGAACGAGUGUGAGAGUGGAAAGUUCACACUGUGACGGUAGCUUACCAGAAAGGGACGGCUAACUACGUG
rnacentral:rRNA from 1 species